UACAGAGGUCUCAAGCGUUGUUCGGAUUCAUUGGGCGUAAAGGGUGCGUAGGUGGCGCCGUAAGUCAGGUGUGAAAUCUCGGGGCUCAACCCCGAAACUGCACUUGAUACUGCGGUGCUCGAGUACUGGAGAGGAGAUUGGAAUUUACGGUGUAGCAGUGAAAUGCGUAGAUAUCGUAAGGAAGACCAGUGGCGAAGGCAAAUCUCUGGACAGUUACUGACACUGAGGCACGAAGGCCAGGGGAGCAAACGGG
rnacentral:rRNA from 1 species